rfam:Stegodyphus mimosarum contig120209, whole genome shotgun sequence.
AAAACGGCCCUUUUCAGGGCCAAGUAAUUUCUAAAGUGAUUAUGUCU